UGAUAGCUCAGUCGGUAGAGCAUGAGGCUCUUAAUCUCAGGACCGCAGGUUCAAACCCUGUGUUGGGGGAAAG